GGGCGACUGGGCCAUGACAUUGGUCAACCUACUGAUCGCCAGGGUUGAUUUGGCUGCUCUGGCUGGCUAGGUGGGUGCACUCUCCCUCCUGGUGUGUCCCUCCUGGAGCUGCACACCUGGUGGAAAACUCUCUCAGACAGGAUAAGAUGGUUUUAAAUUGUG